UAUUUUGCUAAAUUUUUUUUAUUGUACUUGUCUGCAGGAGUCCGGCUACAAUGCUAUCAAUAACACCAAGCACUUGGUGCUAUCAAAUUUUUUACCGUUAGAUUAAUCUCUUUGAUUAUUUCCACCCGUUAGAUCAUAACUGUACAUCGCUUCAUACUAUUUAUCCAACCACCUACUCAAUUCUAAGGACCAUUAUCAUCCUAACCGUACAUCGCUUCAUCUAAUGGCCGAAAACUUAAUAGCAUCAAUAAAUUUAUGCUAUUAAUAAUAUUCUAGCCUAGUUUUGUAUGCAAUGUGGAAGUUGACUUCGGCUAAGUAGUGGGCCAAAGUUAAUUACGCUAUUUUGAAGAUUUUGAGUUUCAACCAAAUAUAAAAUUAUGAUAAAUUAGACAAGGAAAGCGGACAUGUAGAACCGAAAAGUACUUUAUUCCUUUUCACUUUCGAUAAAACAAACAAUCUUAUUACCGUAAUUAAGCUUAUCUAACAUUGAACUAUCUACGGGUUUUUUCCGUUAAAAAAA
rnacentral:lncRNA from 1 species